rnacentral:misc_RNA from 1 species
UCAAAUUUGGUCAUUUAGAGGAAGUAAAAGUCGUAACAAGGUUUCCGUAGGUGAACCUGCGGAAGGAUCAUUAUUGAAACUCAAAGGGGCUGCGGUGGCGGUCCUGCGCACCGGUGGCAACGCUGUUGUUGCGCACCCCCCCGCGCCUCAUCCACACUCAAACCCUUGUGCACCUUUGGGGGAAGGCGGGUUCGCGCCCGUCGGCCCCUUCAUUCACAGACUCUGUCUAUUAGAAUGUAACACGCGGCGAAAGCCGUUUGGAACUAUAAAACAACUUUCAACAACGGAUCUCUUGGCUCUCGCAUCGAUGAAGAACGCAGC